GCGGCCUAUCAGCUUGUUGGAGGGGUAACGGCCCACCAAGGCAACGACGGGUAGCUGGUCUGAGAGGAUGGUCAGCCACACUGGGACUGAGACACGGCCCAGACUCCUACGGGAGGCUGCAGUGGGGAAUCUUGCGCAAUGGGCGAAAGCCUGACGCAGCAACGCCGCGUGCGGGAAGAAGGCUUUCGGGCUGUAAACCGCUUUCAGUAGGAACGAAACUGACGGUACCUACAGAAGAAGGAGCGGCCAACUAUGUGCCAGCAGCCGCGGUGACACAUAGGCUCCAAGCGUUGUCCGGAUUUAUUGGGCGUAAAGAGCUCGUAGGCGGUUGAGUAAGUCGGGUGUGAAAACUUUGGGCUUAACCCAAAGAUGCCACUCGAUACUGUUCAACUUGAGUUUGGUAGGGGAGACUGGAAUUCCUA
rnacentral:rRNA from 1 species